UGGUAAUGCCGGAUGCUCCGGUUGGAUGCAUGUCCUUCCGGGAAAGGUUCCAUCGGUAUGGGAUGGGGUCGCGUCCUAUCAGCUUGAUGGCGGGGUAACGGCCCACCAUGGCUUCGACGGGUAGCCGGCCUGAGAGGGCGACCGGCCACAUUGGGACUGAGAUACGGCCCAGACUCCUACGGGAGGCAGCAGUGGGGAAUAUUGCACAAUGGGCGCAAGCCUGAUGCAGCGACGCCGCGUGCGGGAUGGAGGCCUUCGGGUUGUAAACCGCUUUUGAUCGGGAGCAAGCCCUUCGGGGUGAGUGUACCCUUCGAAUAAGCACCGGCUAACUACGUGCCAGCAGCCGCGGUAAUACGUAGGGUGCAAGCGUUAUCCGGAAUUAUUGGGCGUAAAGGGCUCGUAGGCGGUUCGUCGCGUCCGGUGUGAAAGCCCAUCGCUUAACGGUGGGUCUGCGCCGGGUACGGGCGGGCUGGAGUGCGGUAGGGGAGACUGGAAUUCCCGGUGUAACGGUGGAAUGUGUAGAUAUCGAAAAAAAAC
rnacentral:rRNA from 1 species